rnacentral:hammerhead_ribozyme from 1 species
AUCCAGCUGACGAGUCCCAAAAAGGACGGAACGCGAAUCCUGGAC